GUGCUCGUAGCUCAAUCGGAUAGAGUAUCAAGCUACGAACUUGACGGUUGAAAGUUCAAAUCUUUCCGAGCACU
rnacentral:tRNA from 1 species